CUGCACUCGGCCUUCGCCCCGCCUCCCUACUCCUAUCCUACCUGCCCCUUCCGGCCUGCCCUUGCGCCCAGACCCGGCCGCACUUCCCCGUUCCUUUGCUUUCUGACAGAUCUAGUUUCGCGCGCUGGCGGGGUGCGAGUCCGAGAGCCUCCCCGAACGCUGAGGAGGGAAUGUGGCGCGCGCAGGAAGGGGCCGGCCGCAGCAUCAGGGCCGGCGCUGUCGUCCGCCUCCCUUUCCCCAGGCCCCGGAGCUGAGGCCCGAAACCAGAGCUCGGGGCAGAGCGGCUCCCUGGCCCCGGGUAUGGAGGCCCCGGAGGCGGCACCCGCUCAGGCUGAGGGCGCGGAGCCGGCGCCCUGGGCGCACCUAGAGGCCCCCGCCCGCCUCCUGCUGCAGACGCUGCAGGCGGGGCCCGACGGGGCGCGGCGCGGCUUGGGGGUGCUGCGGGCUCUGAGCGGCCGCGGAGGGGAGCCCUUCGGCUGGGACCGCGUCUUCGAGGCGCUGUGCCGGGAGGAGCCAGUAGUGGAGGGCCCGGACUGUCGCCUGGAGCUGAAACCACUGCUGCUGCGAUUGCCCCCGUUAUGCCAGAGGAACCUGAUGUCCCUACUGAUGGCUGUUUGGCCGUCGCUGCCCGAAAGCAGUCUCCACCCUGUGCUGCAGAUUGUGCAGCAGGAUCCAAGCCCCGACCCUGAUCCCUGGCUCCGGGCCCUUGGGGAAUUUCUGCGAAGGGAUCUGGGUGUUGGGAUCUCCACUGAGGGAGUGUCCCCACUGUCUAAAAGGUGCCAGAGACAGCUCCGAGGCCUGUGUAGGCAGCUGGGCCAAGGGGGCAGGAAGUUGAAGUUGCCCCAGGCUCCAGAACCCGAAGGGACAGAACAGGAGGAGGACAAGGACUCCCAGCGGCCUGGGAAACGCAGAAAGGAAGCGGAGGAAGAGCCUGCCAGUCCUGAGGGGGAGAGGGCCCCCAAAAGGCUCCGGUGGUUGGAAAAGGAAGAAGAAGAAAGUCAUGAGGAAAACAGACCUGAACAUGAAUCUUUGGAAUCCCUGGCCAAUGGAGGAGGUGCAUCGUCCAUUAAGAACCAGCCUGUUUUGGGGGCUAAGCCCAGUGAGGCUGGUCAGAGUCUAGAGGAUGCUAAGGGCCUACCUGAGAGUUUGGAGUUGCCCAGAGCUAUCCAGGAACAAGUUCCCAGGCUGCAGCAGCUGCUCAAGACCCUCGGGAAGGGGUUGGAAGGGCUGGAGGGCACCCCACCAGUUGAGCUGCAGCUUCUCCACGAAUGCAGUCCUGGCCAGGUGGACCUGGUGUGUGCCCAGCUGCAGCUCCCACAGCUCUCGGACACAGGUCUCCUGCAGCUCUGCACCUGGCUGCUGGCCCUUUCACCAGACCUCAGCCUCAGCAAUGCUACUGUGCUGACCAGGAGCCUCUUCCUUGGACGGAUUCUCUCCCUGACUUCCUCAGCCUCCCGCUUGCUCACAACUGCCCUGACCUCCUUCUGUACUAAGUACACCUACGCCGUCUGCAGAGCCCUCCUUGGCCCUGUGCUCCAAGCCCCAGGAAUAGGUCCAGCUCAAACAGAGUUACUGUGUUGCCUUACAAAGGACGAGGCCCUGGAGCCGGACAUGCAGGCUCUAAUGCUGGGACAGAUCUUGGAGCUGCCCUGGAAGGAAGAGACUUUCUUGGUGUUGCAGUCACUCCUGGAGCGGCAGUUCCCCGACCAGGGAUUGAACCCGUGCCCCCUGAAGUGGAAGCGUGGAGUCCUAACCAGUGGACUGCCAGGGACAGUGCCUAAUUUAUUUUUGAAUAGGUGGAGAUGCCCUCUGAGAAGUUCAGUGUGUUGAUGGAGAAACUCUGUAAAGAGGGGCCAGCAGCCACCACGUCCAUGGCCUAUGCCAAGCUCAUGCUGACAGUGGUAACCAAGUAUCGGGCCAAUAUCAGUGAGCCCCAGAGGCUGGGCCUGGCUGCAGUUCUGGAGCUCAAUACCACUUUCCUGAAGAAGUCCCUGCAGGCUGCCCUGAGACAGCUGGCCCCCUGACCAUCCACCAAGGGACCACCCUCCCGGACCUCCCUCAUCA